rnacentral:rRNA from 1 species
CUACGGGAGGCAGCAGUGAGGAAUAUUGCACAAUGGAGGAAACUCUGAUGCAGCAACGCCGCGUGGAGGAUGACGCAUUUCGGUGUGUAAACUCCUUUUAUAUGUCAAGAAAAUGACGGUAGCAUAUGAAUAAGCACCGGCUAACUCCGUGCCAGCAGCCGCGGUAAUACGGAGGGUGCAAGCGUUACUCGGAAUCACUGGGCGUAAAGGACGCGUAGGCGGGAUAUCAAGUCAGGUGUGAAAUCCUACAGCUGAACUGUAGAACUGCACUGAAACUGGUAACCUAGAGUAUGGGAGGGGGAGAUGGAAUUAGUGGUGUAGGGGUAAAAUCCGUAGAUAUCACUAGGAAUACCUAAAGCGAAGGCGAUCUCCUGGAACAUAACUGACGCUAAGGCGUGAAAGCGUGGGGAGCAAACGGGAUUAGAUACCCGCGUAGUC